rnacentral:rRNA from 1 species
UAAUACAGCCGUAUGAGACUGAAUGCACACCUACACUUAUCUGAUUUUGGAAGCCAAGCAGUCACAGGUUUGACUAGUACUUGGAUAGGAGCCCAGCCUUGAAUCCUGGGUGCUGUAGGCA